CUGUUGGCCACAGGGUAUUAGGGGAACACCAAGACCGGGGAAUUUUAAGAGCAGUGUUUAACCUGCUGUGAUACCCCUGGAAUGACGGCAAAGAAAAUAGUGGGAACAGUUUAGUGUUGUGAAUAAAACUGCCAGGAAAGAAAAAUAUUGUAAUUCUGCAGAUCUGUGGGAAACUGGAAACACUUCACAGUCUUUGGGAAGCUCCACAUAGACUGCCUCACAGAGAAGAUGCCCUCUAAAGCUGUGUGUCCAGGAUUUUUGAAGAGAGUUCAGGCUUCCCUUCACCUUCAGUGAUGAGGGCUGAAGCCCCAUAUGCAAGCUGGGGUGGGGCAGAUGAAUAACUAUCAAGCUCCUGAAUUCUUAUGUCUUGGUGUUUCACCAUUGCUUUAGACCUUGUCUGUGUGGGAGGAAAUGCAGCAGCUACAUUAAACUUCAAUCUCUGACUUGAGCUCAACAUUUUACAGCAGCAGAUUCUGAGCUAAAAGUUAACACCAGUCAUUUCAGAGAUGGAGGUGCAAGAAACAAAUCAGAGGUGGGUGCUAAGUGGACAAGCUUUGGUGUAGAAUGAAUUGCAGGCUCCCCUCUGGAAAGGCAGUGAAAUUUGGGGUGGAGAGCAGCACACUGCCCAAUUCCUAGCAUGUGCUGAGGAGGGAAAAUGAAGAAGGUCAGGGAAGAGAGGCUGCCAAGAAUUGCUGUUUUAGAGGAGACGCUGCAUUUUCAUCCUCUUGGUAGGGCAUUUGGAAAUUAUGUCAGAGCCCAGCACGGACUGACAGUAUUGCCAGCCAUUUGCAGCAGCAGCACCACCAGGCUUUCAGUUCUGACUCGAAUGUUUUCAUAACUUCAGCUCCUCCUGCAUCGUAAGAAAUGUGUGAAAUGUAUGCAUGGAAGGUCAGUGUUUGAAAACACAUACAGAGAGCACCAUAAUUAUCUGAAGGUAAACUGCCAGAUAUUGUGAUGCUGUAUUUUAGCAGGCUGAAUUCCUGAACUGACACGCUUAGGUUGCUGAUCCCAUUUAUAUGAGCAAAAAAUCUGAGUGUCUAUCUCCUGUCCAAAUUUACACAGGCAGAAUUUUUUUAUUUUAGAAAUGUGCUAUAAGGUCCUCCAAGGAGGAGGAACAUGAUUAAGCUCUGUCCUUGGGUAAAACACAAAGCACUAUCAUCUCCUCUUUGAAAGGUUUCACUAAUCUCAGGACUUCAGCAUGAAACUAAAUUUAGAAAGUCUGGAUGCCAGUGGAGGCGGUUCACGUUUUCUUUAGACAGUGACAAACAGUGUAUUCUCAUUCACUCCUUCAGGUCAGAGUUCAGCUUUCAUCUUGCCUCUGGUCAGAGCUGGGUGACAUCCUGAACAACUGGUUCCUUGUAGUUUAUGAUGCCAACUGACAGUGGAGUAGUUUAUUAUAUGAUAUACAGCCUUUAAUUUUCUGGAGAGACACGGAGUUGACAUUUGAUAAGCCAUUCAUGAUAAAAGAAUAACUACUACAGAGAAAUGAAGAAGAGGCAGCACAGGACACAAAUAGAUGUGUUUAUUCUGAGUGCUCUAACUGCUUUUAAAGUCUGGUCUAAACAUACAUUGUGAAAAGAAUGAGAGAAUAGGAACAUCACUGCCAUUGUAUAGGUUUUAUUAAAAGGAAA